rnacentral:lncRNA from 1 species
CUCUUAGGGCGUGUUUGGUUCGCUUCUUUUUCACCCUGGAAUCGGAAUCGGAAUGGGUAAAAUCCUUUAUGGGUGUUUGGUAUACAGGAGUCCCAUUCCUAUUCCGAUUCCCGAGUGGAAUGGGAAUCCUUCAAUCACCUCGUUUUUCAAUCCGGCCUAGGAGGCCGGAUUGAAAGUUGAAUCCGGAUGGAAUAGAUAUUUAUUCAGAUUAAAUUUAUUUUUUCAAUUUUGUUAAUUAAAAUAUGAGUUAAAAUUUAAAAAUUAAAUAUAUAAUUUUAAAUUUUAAAUUUUAAUUUAAACUUAAAUUAAAAUAUUUACUCACAUAUUUUAAAUUUUUGAUGUAAACUUGAGGUUUGAUUAUUUUACUCACAUAUUUCCAUCUUACUUCUGUACUUGGUGAGCUCGACCUAAGCAUUUAAGAAGCACAUACAUUUUCAACAAAUGAUGGCUACUCAUUAGAUGUCUUCUUGUUGUUGGAGAGCAUUAUUAGGUACUCUCCAUGUCUCAAAUUUACAUCAGAUUUCUUGCUAAAGAGCUAACAAAUCUGCCAUGUAUUAUUAUAUACAGCUUUCCUUCUUAAGAGACACUUUAUGAUAUAUUUACUAGCUAGACCAGCAAUUUAUGCAUUUUAAUUUUCACUUUCAUCAUCAGAAAUUGAAAAUAACUUAGUUAACAAGCUGUGUAUUGAAGUAAUGUUCCGCUUGUAGUUGCUGAACAUUAAAAAAUAAAUAUAACCAUGUAUUGAAAUUAUAAUUUGAGAGGGAAGACAAUUUAUUAUAUAAAUUAUUAAUGCUCUUUGGUUAUUACUAUUUUUUAAUAUUUUAAAUUUAUUAUAGUAUAUAGUUGUAGAACAAGUAUUUUAAUAUUAAUUGUAAUUGCCGCUAUAAGCUUUAUUUAUCAAACAUUUAGUAUGUUUUUAGUGGCAAUUAUAAUUAAUUGUAGUGGCAUUUAUAAUAGUUGCUAUUAUAUAGUAUUUAGCGGCAUUUAUUUGGGCUUUUAUCAACCGUUGAAAUAAAUAUCAUUAUAAUUUUUAGCGACCCUACCAAUAGUGAUAAUUGUUAUAAUUGUCACGGAACUAUUUAGCGGCAAUUAUAUUUGUUGCGAAUUUAAAAAAUAAUCAUCACUAAAAUUUAAUUUUAUU